rnacentral:rRNA from 1 species
UCUAGCUGAACUGCCGUUGACAAACGGAGGAAGUGGGAUGACGUCAAAUCAUCAUGCCCUUUAUGUCCUGGGCUACACACGUGCUACAAUGGCCUGUACAGAGGGAAGCGAAAGGGUGACCCGGAGCGAAUCCCAAAAAGCAGGUCUCAGUUCGGAUUGCAGGCUGCAACCCGCCUGCAUGAAGUCGGAAUCGCUAGUAAUCGCAGGUCAGCAUACUGUGGUGAAUACGUUCCCGGGCCUU